GAUGCUUUAGCUGUUGAGGCGAAGAAGGGAAUUGAGGUAAGGCUGCAUAAGAGAAUGGAGUUACUGAGCGAAUAUUCAAACGUCUAUUUAUGUGAGAACUUCUUGCCCCUUUGUAUGACACCACCUUAGCCUUAGUCAGUAAGAGAGGGGGGUGACUAUUAGAUAGGGACUCUGGAAGUUCAUGGGAAGAGGUUAGUGGAU
rnacentral:lncRNA from 1 species